CAGUAGCCGCGGUAAUACGUAGGGUGCGAGCGUUGUCCGGAUUUAUUGGGCGUAAAGGGCUCGUAGGCGGCCUGUCGUGUCGGAAGUGAAAGCCCACUGCUUAACGGUGGGUCUGCUUCCAGUACGGGCAGGCUGGAGUAUGGCAGGGGAGACUGGAAUUCCUGGUGUAGCGGUGGAAUGCGCAGAUAUCAGGAGGAACACCGGUGGCGAAGGCGGGUCUCUGGGCCAUUACUGACGCUGAGGAGCGAAAGCGUGGGGAGCGAACAGGAUUAGAUACCCGCGUAGUCCCUGUCUCUUAUAC
rnacentral:rRNA from 1 species